rnacentral:rRNA from 1 species
UAUUGGUCAAUGGGCGGGAGCCUGAACCAGCCAAGUCGCGCGAGGGAAGACGGUCCUACGGAUUGUAAACCUCUUUUGCCGGGGAGCAACGGGGUCCCUGCGAGGGCCCAAUGAGAGUACCCGGAGAAAAAGCAUCGGCUAACUCCGAGCCAGCAGCCGCGGUAAUACGGAGGAUGCGAGCGGUAUCCGGAUUUAUUGGGGUUAAAGGGUGGGUAGGCGGGCUGUUAAAUCAGCGGUCAAAUGUCGGGGCUCAACCCCGGCCUGCCGUUGAAACUGGCGGCCUCGAGUGGGCGAGAAGUAUGCGGAAUGCGUGGUGUAGCGGUGAAAUGCAUAGAUAUCACGCAGAACUCCGAUUGCGAAGGCAGCGUACCGGCGCCCUACUGACGCUGAGGCACGAAAGCGUGGGUAUCGAACAGG